CCCAGACUGAAGCUGUGCAAGCCCCUCUGCCAGCUAGGAGAUGUCACACUGCUUUCCAAGGACCUUCCCCGAAGGCCUUGCUACGUCUCCAGACGGUGCCGGGGAUGAAGGAGGGGAUGCACAGACACCACCUUAGCUUUCCCCGGGGCCGGGAGCUCGGCGCCCCACCCGUUCUUAUUGCAUCUUCCAGC